rnacentral:lncRNA from 1 species
CCUUUAAAAUUUCUCUGCUUUAACCUCGUUUUUUUUUUUACUAUUUAAGCAGUGAUUCCUUCUUUCUAUCUUCCAUAUUUCCUAAUUAUUAUUCUUUUCAAAAUAUCCUAAAAAAAAUCUCUCCAAAAUUCUUCCACAAUUUUCCCAAAAUUUUCUUCUCUCAAAUUAAUAUUUUUCUUGAUUUUUUUUCUUCUCUUCUCACACGUUUCUCUCUCUUCUUCCUCUCCUUUUUC